UACGUAGGUGGCGAGCGUUAUCCGGAAUGAUUGGGCGUAAAGGGUGCGUAGGUGGUUUCUUAAGUCAGAGGUGAAAGGCUACGGCUCAACCGUAGUAAGCCUUUGAAACUGGGAAACUUGAGUGCAGGAGAGGAGAGUGGAAUUCCUAGUGUAGCGGUGAAAUGCGUAGAUAUUAGGAGGAACACCAGUUGCGAAGGCGGCUCUCUGGACUGUAACUGACACUGAGGCACGAAAGCGUGGGGAGCAAACAGG
rnacentral:rRNA from 1 species